AAAAAGUGGUUUUUCUCCUUAAUAGCCGCCCUACGGAAGGAAGGAAAUCGAUUUAGCCCUUGAACAAUAAUGGAUCGGGCCGUUGACACCAAAGUAAUCUUUCUUGACUCUCCUGGGCUUGACGAAAAGCAGGGGCAAAUUAUCCUUGAUUGUUUUAAUUAUUCAAACUCUGAUUCCGUUGGCAGUUACAAAGAGGUGCCUUCACCACCGUGAGUGCCUGGGAAUCUGUGCCGAAGGCUGGCCGGCUGCCUCCGCUGGCCGCCAUCCCAAGGUGGAAGGCGCACCUCUUGGGGCAAAGGUCGAGGCUGAGAAGCGCCCCUGGCCAAUGGCGGACGGCCUCUGGCCCCUCGGAGGAAGCCGAGGGGAGCCUCCCAGUGGUCCGGCAGGAGCGUCCGGUCUCUGCAAGAUGGACCGACAUCUGCAGUGCUUGACCGACCUGCAGGACAAAACAGGAAAAAGGAUGAGGAUUCCUGCGUGACCCAGAAGCCUGCAUCCAGCAAAUCCCACCUGGUUUAAGGCCAGUGGUUGCCACCGAUUGUUUUCGGUGCCCUAAGGGAAGGAGAACUUCACCCUCUCCCUUCUCUCCCACUCCUCGGCCUUUCUCGGCAGUCCAGGGGCCGAUUUAAUGAAAACCCCAUAAUUAUCCAGCCUUCUCUUGUUCUGUCUGGGACA
rnacentral:lncRNA from 1 species